NNCGGCGGGGGCCUCGGGAAGAGUUAUCUUUUCUGCUUAACGGCCUGCCAACCCUGGAAACGGUUCAGCCGGAGGUAGGGUCCAGUGGCCGGAAGAGCACCGCACGUCGCGCGGUGUCCGGUGCGCCCCCGGCGGCCCAUGAAAA
rnacentral:rRNA from 1 species